CACCAUGCCUGGGGUGGGGGUGGAGGUGGGGCAGAUAACUGGCUUUUGUGAAGACUCCACUUUCAGCACUUUAUUGUGAAGCCCGCAUCUUUUGCAGAUCCCUCCCUGAUCUUGGAGAUGGGGACUCUGGAUAAUACUUAGAUUGUAGGGUGUUUUCUGCCAGCCGGUCUCUUUUGCAGUACAGAGGAUUAGUCUGAAGUUAAGAAACCCCGUCACAGAUUUCAGAUUGUCUCUCCCUGUGACAUGAUACCCGCCCCCCCCCCAAACCUGCAUUUUCUGUCUAUCCCUUUUCCUCCAGUCUCUCUGUUUCCUUGUCUCUGUCUGUCUCUGUCUCUCGGUGUGUGAGUGUGUCCAAAUCUCAGUAGAUCUUCUAGGCUCUGGCUUUUCCAAAGAAGUAUCAGGCACACCGGUGAGCCACUGUAGCGGAAAGACAAAGAACAGGGCAGAUCAAGUCAUUGAACUGGGCAGAAUUUUAAUCAGCGAGUUAGAAGAAAGUGGCGGGGCGGGGGGUGGGGGAAGAUAAAGAAUCAUCAACUGGAAAAAUCCAUCUGUGCGCACCGAAGGGAAAAGAUUUGUUAAAUUGGAAGCACCUCAGAGCUAAAGGCUGUGCGUUGCAACAACCUAGUGGUGGACCACUAGGUGGCACUGCACACACAACUCCUAGGCUCCCAAGCUGGUGACUGCAAAGUUGCUGGAGAACUCUGAAGUCCGAGAGGCGGCGAUAUGGGCGGGUGGAGGCUGUUUAAAAGCCGAGUGGUGAGGUGCUAGUUUAGGUCGGGAGGAGACUGCGCCCUGGCAAUGGCCCUACUCUCUCGCCGAGGUCCGCCUAGGUGGACAUCAGGUGCCCAGGCAGAGCGAAGCGUCCAGUGAGGGCUCCUGGCUCGGAUGCAAGACCAGAGCCCGGUAAACAGAAGAUUCAACUCCCAGAAACCGCCUGGAACCCGUGAAGAAUCAUGCUUACCUUUGCGCGGAGCAGAGCAGAAUGGUAAAUCCGAUGCCAAGAAGUGGGGGCAUUCUCUUCCAGCAAUGAACUCCUCCUCCACCCUGACUGUAUUGAAUCUUACCCUGAACGCCUCAGAGGAUGGCAUUUUAGGAUCAAAUGUCAAGAACAAGUCUUUGGCCUGUGAAGAAAUGGGCAUUGCCGUGGAGGUGUUCCUGACCCUGGGUCUCGUCAGCCUCUUAGAGAACAUCCUGGUCAUUGGGGCCAUAGUAAAGAACAAAAACCUGCACUCACCCAUGUACUUCUUUGUGGGCAGCUUAGCCGUGGCCGACAUGCUGGUGAGCAUGUCCAAUGCCUGGGAGACUGUCACCAUAUACUUGCUAAAUAAUAAACACCUGGUGAUAGCCGACACCUUUGUGCGACACAUCGACAACGUGUUCGACUCCAUGAUCUGCAUCUCUGUGGUGGCCUCGAUGUGCAGUUUGCUGGCCAUUGCGGUGGACAGGUACAUCACCAUCUUCUAUGCCUUGCGCUACCACCACAUCAUGACCGCGAGGCGCUCGGGGGUGAUCAUCGCCUGCAUCUGGACCUUCUGCAUAAGCUGCGGCAUUGUUUUCAUCAUCUACUAUGAGUCCAAGUAUGUGAUCAUUUGCCUCAUCUCCAUGUUCUUCACCAUGCUGUUCUUCAUGGUGUCUCUGUAUAUACACAUGUUCCUCCUGGCCCGGAACCAUGUCAAGCGGAUAGCAGCUUCCCCCAGAUACAACUCCGUGAGGCAAAGGACCAGCAUGAAGGGGGCUAUUACCCUCACCAUGCUACUGGGGAUUUUCAUUGUCUGCUGGUCUCCCUUCUUUCUUCACCUUAUCUUAAUGAUCUCCUGCCCUCAGAACGUCUACUGCUCUUGCUUUAUGUCUUACUUCAACAUGUACCUUAUACUCAUCAUGUGCAACUCCGUGAUCGAUCCUCUCAUCUACGCCCUCCGCAGCCAAGAGAUGCGGAGGACCUUUAAGGAGAUCGUCUGUUGUCACGGAUUCCGGCGACCUUGUAGGCUCCUUGGCGGGUAUUAAACGCCUUCCUCUCUCAGUGGCUCUCGUCUCUCAGUCAAUUAGGUUCAGCCAAGGCAUGAGCAAGGCUGCUAAGGCUCUCAGAUGUAUUGUUCCUCGCCCCCUUUGCAGCUCCGUUUGGUUAUUGUGUGUCCGAGGAGGUUUCACCAUGCUCUGCCUGACUUGGUAAGUGACCUGAGGAGAUGCAUAAUCUCCUGGGUGAGCUGUCAUUGUACAAACCACUGUGGAAGCUUAUAUCACCAUGAGUGGCUUUUGUGUUUGGUUUAGCUUUCUCCAUGCUGCUGUCCAUGUUUGCAGGAUGCACCUUUUACAUUCUUUUCAGGAAUGGAGAGACAUCCGGCUCCUUCUUAUUUGAGAAUUCCAUUAUUUUUUAUUUUUUUACUACAGUUCCCCUAUCCUAGACUUCUGGCCCUAUGGCUUGCAUUCAGAAUUGUCUGGGGGGGACCAACUUUAACUACUUAAACUCCUGUCCUUCAUAGUUUUGGACUUACUCAGACAUAGAACUUCUAUGCUAAACACCUUGCUUCGUGUUUUGUGAAAACCUCCAUGCCUCUCGCUGUCUUUUUUUUUUUUUUUUUUUUUUUUUGACUCAAUUCAGUGUUUCCAAGAAAUUUGGGGGCGGUCACAUGGCGACUCUAGGUACAAACUCGCCCUCACUCCAUUUAGCAUGUGCCACCCAGAGUCAAACUAGAAUGGCUUUCUCACACAUAAUCAUUUAUCAGUUCUUGGUGUCUGAAAAGUCCACAUUGGAUGCUUUGAAGCAUCUUAACCUGCCCCUAGCAACCUGCCCCUAGCAACCUGCCCCUAGCAACCAUCAAAGGCCCGGUCCACAGCAAAGACAAGCCAUUUUCUCCAGUCUGGAGUAGAGGAAAGGGACGAAAGCUCAAGCACCAACCCUGACACUGGCUGUGUGCCUUUCCCUCCUCCCCAGGCUCCACCUCUGUGCUGACCUCUCAGAAUGGCCAAAAAAAAAAAAAAAAAAAAAAAACUACCUGAAAAAAAAAAAAGGAGAACUUCUUGUAAAAUUUGAAAAACAUACAGGAUGGGUUUUGUUUGUUUGUUUGUUUGUUUUUGUUAUUUAAAAGAACUAUUUCACAUGGGUGGGAUCACACAUGAAGGAAGGGUACAGGUGUCAGUGGCCAGAGCAGUGUUUUGGAUGCCAAGAGACUUGCUGUGCUCAACAGAGCCACGUGGCCCUCUGGAUCCCAGCGAAGAUCAUAGGGUUAGAAUAAGACAUUGAUCUUGGUGGUCACACUGCUUGUCCAGACACCCAGCUAUCUAUCACGAGUCUUAAUUCUCUGCUCUGGGUGCUAAAAUGACUUGCUACAAAUCCUGACCUUUAUUUUAAGGUAUUUAAGAACACGCUUGACGGCAUUUUAAUCUCUAUGUAAACAAAAUCGCCCUUGUGUUCCAGUGCUGUUAUUUUUGGGAUCUUCAUCUGAAGCAAAGGGUACGAGUCCCUCCAGCUCACAGGUUCGGUUUCGCAGUAAUAUGCUGGAAUUAGUGUUUUCUCUGUGGUUGGAUACUUGACAUCUAGGCUGCUUCCAAAUGAAAGAGAAAUGUAAAUAAGGCAGCGGACAUACAGGUCAUCCCACAGUGAACUGUGGGUGUAAGAGGGGUCCUGUCUACAGAAGAUUGGAAGAGCAGAAGGACUUUCUAUAGUAUGGUGUCAUAAUUAGCUUAUGAGAAUGAUCUCUUUAGAAGCUCAGCAAAGAAAAACAAAAACAAAAACCAUAGUGCUGGUGUUAACAGUAAGGUGAAUGAGAUGUCCAAAUCUUUACAAAGUGGAAAACAAGCAGAUUGUUUGCAACUGAUUUGCAAAGAGCCUCUAACCUUUCAAAAUGUUUCCUGUUCAUAGCUGCUGAAUAUUCACACGCAGGAAGUAAAAGUUCUCAUUGUAGCCAUUAUAGGAAGCCGAGUUCACAUUGUAGCCAUUAUAGGAAUCCGAGUCCACUGUCACAGUGGAUGUGACUGGGAUAUGGGGUGUCUGAGGCUUCCUCUCCUCUGUACAGAGCAAGCGCUUGCGGUGUUUGUAAUUUCCAAGUUGAAUUUUCUGCCUAGAGUCCUUGAGUAAUCUUAAGCAAAGUGACUCUAGUCCUGAUCACAGGGGAAGAAUAAGACAUUGAUGUUGGUGGUCACACUGCUUGUCUGGACACCCAACUGUCACUAGUCUGAUUCUCUUCUCUGGGUGCUUAAAUGACUUACUACAAUUAAGGUAUUUAAGAACAGGCUCAACUGCAUUUUAAUCUCUAUGUAAACAAUAUAGCCCAACUGUUGUGUUCAACUGUUGUUGUGUUUGGGAAAAUAUAUGCCUGUAGUAACUUGUUACAUUUAUGAAAAUAAGCCAACCUCAAAAUGAAGUCCCCUUAACAAGAACAAAAAAGAAUACACAUGCUUGCCAAACAUGUGGCAUUGUAUGUUAGUUUUCUGUUGGAAAUGCAUUUGCAUGAAGGUCCCUUAGCAAAAGAAUAGACAUGCAUGUGAAACAUGUGACAUUGUAUGUUAACUUUAUGUCUCUGUGGGAAACGUAUUUGCUGUAAAAUAUGUGUCCAAAGAAAUUGUUAGUAAAGUAGAAGGAUGAUUCAAUUUGUACUAAUAAACAUGUAUAUAAUUAAUAAAAUGGAUGGACUAAACUAUA